GGCGCAUUCGUCUAGCGGCCUAGGACGCAUCCCUCUCAAGGAUGAGACCACGGGUUCGAAUCCCGUAUGCGCUACCA
rnacentral:tRNA from 2 species